rnacentral:rRNA from 1 species
AGACCCGAAACCCGGUGAUCUAGCCAUGGGCAGGUUGAAGGUUGGGUAACACUAACUGGAGGACCGAACCGACUAAUGUUGAAAAAUUAGCGGAUGACCUGUGGCUGGGGGUGAAAGGCCAAUCAAACCGGGAGAUAGCUGGUUCUCCCCGAAAGCUAUUUAGGUAGCGCCUCGUGAAUUCAUCUCCGGGGGUAGAGCACUGUUUCGGCUAGGGGGCCAUCCCGGCUUACCAACCCGAUGCAAACUGCGAAUACCGGAGAAUGUUAUCACGGGAGACACACGGCGGGUGCUAACGUCCGUCGUGAAGAGGGAAACAACCCAGACCGCCAGCUAAGGUCCCAAAGUCAUGGUUAAGUGGGAAACGAUGUGGGAAGGCCCAGACAGCCAGGAUGUUGGCUUAGAAGCAGCCAUCAUUUAAAGAAAGCGUAAUAGCUCACUGGUCGAGUCGGCCUGCGCGGAAGAUGUAACGGGGCUAAACCAUGCACCGAAGCUGCGGCAGCGAACGUAUCACCCAAGACAACUUUACGGAGUUGACGAUUGACGGAGCGAAGCGACGUCAAAGCGUUCAUUAAAGUCGAGUUGGCUUAGGGAUACGUUCGUUGGGUAGGGGAGCGUUCUGUAAGCCUGUGAAGGUGUGUCGUGAGGCAUGCUGGAGGUAUCAGAAGUGCGAAUGCUGACAUAAGUAACGAUAAAGCGGGUGAAAAGCCCGCUCGCCGGAAGACCAAGGGUUCCUGUCCAACGUUAAUCGGGGCAGGGUGAGUCGACCCCUAAGGCGAGGCCGAAAGGCGUAGUCGAUGGGAAACGGGUUAAUAUUCCCGUACUUGGUGUUACUGCGAAGGGGGGACGGAGAAGGCUAUGUUGGCCGGGCGACGGUUGUCCCGGUUUAAGCGUGUAGGUGUGUGUUCCAGGUAAAUCCGGUUCACUUUAACACUGAGGCGUGACGACGAGGCACUACGGUGCUGAAGCAACAAAUGCCCUGCUUCCAGGAAAAGCCUCUAAGCAUCAGGUAACAUCAAAUCGUACCCCAAACCGACACAGGUGGUCAGGUAGAGAAUACCAAGGCGCUUGAGAGAACUCGGGUGAAGGAACUAGGCAAAAUGGUGCCGUAACUUCGGGAGAAGGCACGCUGACACGUAGGUGAAGUGAUUUACUCAUGGAGCUGAAGUCAGUCGAAGAUACCAGCUGGCUGCAACUGUUUAUUAAAAACACAGCACUGUGCAAACACGAAAGUGGACGUAUACGGUGUGACGCCUGCCCGGUGCCGGAAGGUUAAUUGAUGG